UCUUGUGCCACACUAUAUUACAGGUGUGUUUGUGGGAACAACAUCUUAUUCAUCUCAGUGUCUACUUUUAUUGUAGAUAUUAUAUCCUGUAUCUUUUUUGAAAGUUAUAAAGGUAGGACUGUCCCUAAUGGGAUCCCUCCCAUAUUUGCUGUCUCAUUUUAUUUUUAGUUUUGACGACUUUGUUAUUGUGUGAGUUGGCAAGUAAGUGUUUCGUUGGGUUCGAUUCAUUAUUUGGAUCCAGCCCAGUGUUGUAACUUGUAACACAACAUCUGAGAUUAUUCUGCUGUUAUGAUUUAUUGGACAUUUUGAAACUGAAAUUAAGACAUACACAUGUAUUCUCUUCUAACGCUUUAAGUAGCUAUAAGUAAAGGAUAUUAAUACGAAACUUUUGAAAGGAUAAGGCAUCGUAAAACGAAUAAUUCUGCAUCAUUACCUAUUAUUUAGUUAUGAUAGGCUUUAAGUAAAUGAGAGACACAGUGUGAGCGUUAGGAAAAAGGAGGUGUCGUUGUACAUUCUUGAAGGUUGCAGUAACAAAGAAAGCCGGGGCGUGAAACUUUAAGAGACAAAAUGUUGACUGUUGUGAAAAUUAUAUUUUGGAUCACAAAAUUAGUUCCAAACAUAAAGUAGGAUUUUGCUCUGUUGUAAAACAUGGAUAAUGUAACUUAAAUAAAUACAA